UCCCCGAGNUUAACUUGGGAACUGCGUUUUGAACUGNUAAGCUAGAGUAUGUCAGAGGGGGGUAGAAUUCCACGUGUAGCAGUGAAAUGCGUAGAGAUGUGGAGGAAUACCGAUGGCGAAGGCAGCCCCCUGGGAUAAUACUGACGUUCAUGCUCGAAAGCGUGGGUAGCAAACAGGAUUAGAUACCCUGGUAGUCCACGCCCUAAACGAUGUCAAUUAGCUGUUGGGGCACUUGAUGCCUUAGUAGCGAAGCUAACGCGUGAAAUUGACCGCCUGGGGAGUACGGUCGCAAGAUUAAAACUCAAAGGAAUUGACGGGGACCCGCACAAGCGGUGGAUGAUGUGGAUUAAUUCGAUGCAACGCGAAGAACCUUACCUGGUCUUGACAUGUACGGAAUCUUCCAGAGACGGAAGAGUGCCUUCGGGAGCCGUAACACAGGUGCUGCAUGGCUGUCGUCAGCUCGUGUCGUGAGAUGUUGGGUUAAGUCCCGCAACGAGCGCAACCCUUGUCAUUAGUUGCCACCAUUUAGUUGGGCACUCUAAUGAGACUGCCGGUGACAAACCGGAGGAAGGUGGGGAUGACGUCAAGUCCUCAUGGCCCUUAUGACCAGGGCUUCACACGUCAUACAAUGGUCGGUACAGAGGGUAGCCAAGCCGCGAGGUGGAGCCAAUCUCAGAAAACCGAUCGUAGUCCGGAUUGCACUCUGCAACUCGAGUGCAUGAAGUCGGAAUCGCUAGUAAUCGCAGGUCAGCAUACUGCAGUGAAUACGUUCCCGGGUCUUGUACACACCGCCCGUCACACCAUGGGAGUGGGGGAUACCAGAAGUAGGUAGGCUAACCGCAAGGAGGCCG
rnacentral:rRNA from 1 species